rnacentral:ncRNA from 1 species
CAUAGUUUUGGUCCUAGACUUACUGUUGUCUAUAGCUAUAUUUACACAUGCAAGUAUCCGCACACCAGUGCAAACGCCACAGAAAUUGUACACCACAACCCGGAGCAGGCAUCAGGCACACACAUGUGGCCCACAACGCCUAGCUAGUGCCACACCCCCACGGACUCCAGCAGUGAUAAACAUUGAGCAAUGAAUAAACACUCGACUCAGCUACAGCUAACCAGAGCCGGUAAACCUCGUGCCAGCCACCGCGGUUACACGAGGGACUCAAGACAACAAACCUACGGCGUAAAAUGUGACUAGAGAUCACCGUACUAAAAUGAAACAAAAACUACAAUUAAGUCGUAAAAAACUUAUACUACCUGGAACCACAACUACGUUUCACUAAAUACCCCCUUGACCACACGAAAGCUAAGACACAAACUAGGAUUAGAUACCCUACUAUGCUUAGCCGUUAACUUACGCACAAACCACAACCACAACUGCCCGCCAGAGAAUUACAAGCGAAAACCUUAAAACUCAAAGGACUUGACGGUGUCCCAUAUCGUCCUAGAGGAGCCUGUCCUAUAAUCGAUACCCCACGUCACACCUUACCUAAUCUUGCACUGCCACAGCCUAUAUACCGCCGUCGCCAGCUUGCCUACGAUAGACACACAGCAAGCACAAUAAGCCACCCCUUAAAACGUCAGGUCAAGGUGUAGCUAAUAAUUAGGAACGAGAUGGGCUACACUUUCUAAUAUAGAAAAUCUAAACCCUAGGCAAAAUGAAACAUUUUACUGAAAGACGGAUUUAGCAGUAAAUAAGACAAGAAAAGUCAUAUUGAAGCUUGCCCUGGGACGCGUACACACCGCCCGUCACCCUCCUCAACAUUACAUUAUACAAUAACUAAUAACAGUCACAAUGAAAGAUGAGGCAAGUCGUAACAUGGUAAGCGUACUGGAAAGUGCGCUUGGAAAA